rnacentral:rRNA from 1 species
CAGUCUGCAACUCGACUGCAUGAAGCCGGAAUCGCUAGUAAUCGCGGAUCAGAAUGCCGCGGUGAUACGUUCCCGGGUCUUGUACACACCGCCCGUCACACCAUGGGAGUCGGAAAUGCCCGAAGCCGGUGGCCUAACCGAUAAGGGAGGAGCCGUCGAAGGCAGGUCUGAUGACUGGGGUGAAGUCGUAACAAGGUAAC